UGCAAUGGAAGAAGCUCCUGGGAGGGAAGAUGGUAGUGAUCCUGUUUUAGAUGGAGAAGGAAAUCCCAUUAACGUGAAACAGGCUUCAUGUACAGAUUCUAAACUAAAAUUCUACCUGACAGAUGAUAAAGGAACUUCAAAGGAGUCUUUGAUAGAAAUGCACGAACCUCUAGCAAUUACAGGAGUAUCCAAGCGGCUUAAUGUGCUAGUAUGUUGGCCAAAAAAGCCGAUUGAACAGUAUGAUACACGUCUUCUUAGCUCCUUACCUGAAAUUUUUAAGUCUGGAUUUUUUGCAAAGAGACCUCAGGAGUCUGUUUCCUUGUAUAAGUGUCUUGAAGCAUUCUUGACUGAGGAGCCUCUUGGUCCAGAUGACAUGUGGUGAGUGUAGAAAUUAUAUAGUAUAUAGUUUUUUAACUUAAGCAGAAGAAAUAUUUCCAUUAUGAAUAGUUAUUAUCAAAAAUUGUUUACCUGACUUGCAUAGGAGAGGUAUUACAAGUUAUUUUAACCUGGUUUCUUAUUUUUUCUGAACCAUUUUGCACACUACGAAUUUCCCUGAUAUUAUGCUUUUGUUUGACAGUAAGUUGGGUAUCAUUUUUCUUGUGUCAAAAGAUCUAGAAGGCUAGUAACUUACUUUGUCACUAAUUUUAAUGGAUCUGACUUUAAAUUAUAACACUAGAAAAAAUUGUUGUUUUCUUGAAGAGCUUUCCUAUGUGAAGGAAUUGGGUAUCACAUUCGCGCACACAGCAUACUAACUUAAUUGAAGUAAUUCUCUUUUGCUUAUUCUGCUAUGAAAUCCUUGUGAACUGAAGUCUAUUGGAGUUGGAAAGCUCCAUUACUUUUUAAUCUCUGGCUUGCUUUUUGUCAAACAUUUGAUGAUGGUAAUAAGAUGAGAUCUUGGAUUCUUCCUUUCUGCCCCAUCUGCUAUAGCUGCUUCUUGUUUAUAACACUAAGCCUGGCUCUAGUGUUCUUUUUUUCUUCCUCUACAUGACUGGGAUAUUUAUUCUGAUGCUUCCAUUUUCCAUUUGGUUCUUUCUUUUAACUUCCAUAGGAAGGAUUUAAUGUACUGAGGUGGCAAACGGUUUUAUUGGUAUAAUGAAUUUUUCACUUAUAGAUUUCACGUCUUCUUGGGCUUUCCUUGUCUGAACUGUGGCUUGCUUUUGUUUUCCACCACAUGCUAAUUUCUGGUUUUCAUUUAUGUAAUCUAGGUAUUGUCCUGGCUGCAAAACACAUCGUCAAGCUGUUAAAAAAUUAGAUCUGUGGAGACUCCCAGAGAUUCUCGUUAUUCAUUUAAAGAGGUUUUCAUACAGUCGGUUCCUAAAGAACAAACUUGAGACUUAUGUUGAUUUUCCUGCUGAUGAUCUUGAUUUGUCACCAUAUGUUACCCAGUGGAAUUGCCAAUCAUCAGCUCGGUACAUGCUUUAUGCUGUUAGCAAUCACUAUGGAAGCAUGGGAGGUGGUCAUUACACUGCAUUUGUCCAUGUAAGUGAUAUGUCCCCAUGUUCUUCAUAUGUUCUGGUUUGAGGUGAAUAUUUUUGGUCAAGAGUGGCUUUAGAUGGCCUUUUCCCACAUGGAUAGGUGAAUGUCAUCAGGCUUCUGCUGGUUCAUGUCUCGGCUUUAGAACCUGCUGCUCCUUAGGAAGUUAAAGCUCUGGUUAGCACAUGAAAUCUUUUUUUUUCCCUAAUUUGUAUGUUUAUGUAGAUAAACAUACUUGCAUAGUUGACAAUGAUGACAAGGUAUGGAAAAUCAUUUUUGAGAUAACUAGUUUCUUUCUUGAGAUAACAAGGUAUGGAAAAUCAUAUUGAAGUAAGAAGUAGAAAUUAGUUAGGAAUUGAAUGAGAACUGAACUAAAUACAACUCUUGGUUCGACAUCAGUUGUCUUCACCUAUUACCACCGCAUUCAGCAUAUACAAACCAUUGAAGGCAUCCAGUUCUUGGCGCUUAAAAGGUCAAUUAAUCCGAUGCUGACGCUUAGGAAAAUUUCGAAUAGCUUUCACUUUAAGCAAUACUAUAAGUUCCUUCAUUUUUCUGCCGUCCGCUUUUACUGUAUUGAUCUUCUUUUAAUUAUUUACAGAUUGUCUAGCUAAGUUAAGAUAUGGAGGUUUAUUUGUAAAGUUUUGAGUGCUUUACUGGCAUAAGCUUUAUGCUAUUAAACGUUUUGAUUAAAGAUAUACUUAUUUAUUGCUAUUUAAUUUAAUAAAAGACUGAAAUUUGCGACAAAAAUGUUUUAAGGGUUUAAGUUAUAGAAUUUUGAGAUAAAAUUAUCUUUUACUUAUCACCAAUGUAUUGGAAGACUUUAUAUGCUGUCUAGCUUCUUUCAUGUUAAAUUGUUGCAAAAACUUAUAAGCUUUCUAAUUACCCAGCUUUGGCUUUUCAUCCUAUUCAAACAUGUUUCCAACAAUAUUAAUCUCAGAGAGCUUACGAACUCUUUUAUAAACUUUUCUUAGCCAAAAAAUAAUUUAUGUCAAACACUGUACUAGCCAUUUAAGUAUCUUUCUGCACUUCUAGGAUGUUGAAGAGGCUAGUGUUAGGCAAAAGAGCUUUUCUUGGACAUGAUUUGGUGAAAAACCUUAAGUGAUUAGAGCUGUAACUCUCCAACCGUAAUGUAAAUGCUUUCUUUAGCUGGGCCAUUUUAUGCAUCUUUUAGAAUGUAGCAUGCGCAUUAGUCCUGCAUAAUUGCUUGUGAAGAAAAAGAUAUUUAGGAUCUAAUUGAUCUAUUCAUAAGCUAAUGACUUAAUCUCUCUUAAUUUGUGAUUGAUAAUCGCAUGUAUGCAUGACAGUGCACUGUAUUAAUCUGAAUGUCUUAAUGUUCCCCUUUCUAUUGUAGCACGGUGGUGAUCAGUGGUAUGACUUUGAUGAUAGCCAUGUCUAUCCGAUCGGCCAGGAAAAGAUAAAAACUUCAGCUGCUUAUGUUCUUUUCUACAGAAGAGUUGCGGAGGUAUAACAUUAGAUUAGCAUUGUCAAUUUCUGAAGAACUACGUCGAGAUUGACUUAUUAACAGUUUUGCAAUCUUAGACCUAAAAUUCUUUCGAGUCCAUUAUUAACUAUUAACUGUAUCAUGGUGGGAGCUAAAGCAGUAAGACCAUAAAGAGGAGAAUAUUUUUAGUGAAUUUAAGAAGAAAACACAUGUAACUAACUGCUAGAGGAAGAAUGUUUAGCUUUUUAUUAGAACAUAGGAAUUUUUUCUAAGAAGGGGUUUGCUUUCAGUGUCCACUCAAAUGUAUGUUGUACAACUGAGUGUAGAUUGAAUCAUUUGAUCAGCAAUUUUGCUUCUAUCUGGAUGUGCUGUCUCAAAUUCAGAAUUUUGUUUUAAUGCUUCUAUAUUUUCUGAGUAGCUUGAGCUCGUAAACAUUCUAUAUAUUCCUGGGACAAAUUGAGCAAAGAUUUUAAUCCAUUGUAAAGCUUUUAUAAUUCAGUCUUAUGGCUGUUUGUGGAUGGAAUUCUUCUGCACGCAUGGAAUGUGUAUGUCAAUGUCAUCCCCCAGGGCUUAAACUGUGUAAAACAACAGCAAGGUCUGGUAAAUACUAUGUUUUCCUUAGCUUUGAGUAAUUUUUGGAUAUUUAUUUCGCCGAGCAUGAUAAAACAAGGUUCUUCAAUAUAUGGAUCUUCAUUUAUGUGAAAGAAUUUGCGGCUUGUACUGUUUUCUUAUUGUGAGGUUGCUGGAUCUUCCUACAUAUCUGAUUUGUGUUAAUGUACUGACACAGUCCGAGUUAUAUAAGAAAGAGGGUGCAGUGCAGCAUAAGGUGAUUUCGCUAAGUAAGUUAUCAAAACUAUACCUUCAUCGCUGUUGAACUUGCUCAAAAUGGUUGUUGAAGUCUGUCUCGGACCCUUGAAGAAAUCCGAUUGUGAUGAAUUCAGUUUCCUGUCGAAGUUACUCUGGAAUUAUCUCCUAGCAUGCAUGGUCCGAAGUUGGCAGGACGAUUUAUCAGGUAGAAAAUAGAAAAUUUCGUCCAAUUUACAUGGAGAUUUCUUUCAGCAACCACAUAAAAGUGAAUGCAGAAUUAGGUCUCAGGAGCUUUUACAAUGCUCUGUUGCACAGAUUAUCGAGAAAUUUGUCUCCUCCUCCGAACUUGGAAAAGAAAGAGAAAAAUUAGCCGACGAUUCUAGGUUUCGACAACCAUCAUGUUACUGAAAAAUACAGAAGGGAAACACAGAAUUAGGUGAGAGAGGAGCAGAGAGAGGAGACAGCAAAGAGAGGGUUUUUUUUUUUUUUUCUCUCUAAUUUCAUUCACUAACAGUUCUUAUCCUUUUAUAGCCCUAGCUUAUAAUGAACCUACACAAUCUUUCACAUCAUCUUUACAUAUAGCAACACUCCUGUAAAAAUUACCUUGAACCUUGAGGUGAGAUCAGAAAUGGGUAUCAAUCAAAAUUGAAAGUUUCUCAUCAGAGAGAGAGAAAUUCUAAUUGCACAGAGCUCGCAUGGAGUUGUCUGAGGACUUGGUACCAAAUUUAAUAUACUUACCAUACCAUAUAAAA
rnacentral:lncRNA from 1 species